rnacentral:rRNA from 1 species
AUUGAACGCUGGCGGCGUGCUUUACACAUGCAAGUCGAACGGCAGCAUGACCUUCGGGUUGAUGGCGAGUGGCGAACGGGUGAGUAAAACAUCGGAACGUACAUUAUAGUGGGGGAUAACGCAUAGAAAGAUGAGCUAAUACCGCAUAAUCUAUGAGGAGGAAAGGCUGGGAACUGAAAGGGCCAGUCGCUGUACGAGCGGCCGGUGGCUGAUUAGCUAGUUGGUGAGGUAAGAGCUUACCAAGGCGAAGAUGAGUAGCUGUUCUGAGAGGAAGAUCAGCCACACUGGGACUGAGACACGACCCAGACUCCUACGGGAGGCAGCAGUGGGGAAUAUUGGACAAUGGGGUAAACCCUGAUCCAGCAACGCCGCGUGAAUGAAGAAGGCCUUAGGGUUGUAAAGUUCUUUUGUCGCAGAGCAAAGUUUUGAGGUAAAUAGCUUCAAGAGCUGAGAGUAUGCGAAGAAUAAGCACCGGCUAACUACGUGCCAGCCGCCGCCGUAA